UGGGGAAUUUUGGACAAUGGGCGAAAGCCUGAUCCAGCAAUGCCGCGUGUGUGAAGAAGGCCUUCGGGUUGUAAAGCACUUUUGUCCGGAAAGAAAUCCUCUGGGUUAAUACCUCGGGGGGAUGACGGUACCGGAAGAAUAAGCACCGGCUAACUACGUGCCAGCAGCCGCGGUAAUACGUAGGGUGCAAGCGUUAAUCGGAAUUACUGGGCGUAAAGCGUGCGCAGGCGGUUUUGUAAGACGGAUGUGAAAUCCCCGGGCUUAACCUGGGAACUGCAUUCGUGACUGCAAGGCUAGAGUAUGGCAGAGGGGGGUAGAAUUCCACGUGUAGCAGUGAAAUGCGUAGAGAUGUGGAGGAAUACCGAUGGCGAAGGCAGCCCCCUGGGCCAAUACUGACGCUCAUGCACGAAAGCGUGGGGAGCAAACAGGAUUAGAUACCCUGGUAGUCCACGCCCUAAACGAUGUCAACUAGUUGUUGGGGAUUCAUUUCCUUAGUAACGUAGCUAACGCGUGAAGUUGACCGCCUGGGGGAGUACGGUCG
rnacentral:rRNA from 1 species